rnacentral:lncRNA from 1 species
AUGUGGGUCCCAGACGCAGCGAGCGGCGCUCUGAUUGGCUGCCGGUGUCGUCAGUCUGUCCCGGGUGUGCUUCCGGGUUUCGUCGCCUUCGCCUGCUGCUGCUGCUUCUUCAGAGGAGAGGAAGACUCGUCUCGCAGGAGGACAGCCGCUCCGCUCCGGCUGUCUGCGCCGACUCAUCCGCACGUCCCCGCCCGCGACAGACGGCUGCGUGCAUGGGCUCCGCCGCGGCUCGGGCACUGCGUGUGCCGGCUUUGUGAGAGAAAUAAGAGCCAGAGAGCCCCCCGGGGGGGCGGGGGCUCUGCAGGUUUUGCUCCGGAGCGGGCGUGGGGGGGUCUGUCCACAGGGGCGAGAGCGCCGUGCGAAGCGGGACGAGACGAGACGAGACGAGACGGACCCUCGCCUGCAGACGCGCACGGCCAUCCGUCUCCCUGGCAACGGGACACGAGCGACUGUAUCCCGGGAAUGGAUCUUGCUCGGGUCAAGGUGGAGGAGCCCGAGGCGGGGCCGCUCUGGGUCGAGGGCGAGCCGGACCCUAGACUGCGCCAGCAGUGGGUCCAGACGGCCAGCGGCUCUGUCCAGGGCCCGGGCCCGAUCGGCGCAGUGGAGCUGGUCCGCAUCAAGGAGGAGCCUCUGGAUGGCGAAGUGCAGUCCGUCCGGAUCAAAGAGGAGUUCGCCGAGCCGGAACCGGAACCAGAACCCGGACUGGACUCGCUGUGGCCCGGCCCGCUCUGCGUGAAGCAGGAGAGUCCCGACCCGCUUCUGACCCGGAUCAAAGAGGAGCCGGUCCCGCCGGAGGCGGUCCGGAUCAAGGAGGAGUCCGAGGACGUGGAGCUGGACCUGGCUCUCCUGGGCGGUGUCGACCCGGCCCGCGUGAAGAGGGAACCCAGCCCGGGCGAGCUCGAACCCGCGCUGGCGGCCCCGCUGCUAGGCCCGGGGAAGUGGGAGGAGCCCGGACCUGACCCCGCCCACGUCAAGCAGGAGUGUCCCGGGACGGACGGCGGCUCGGAUCAGACUUCGCCUCCGGACAAGGACUCGGGUGAGAGGGGGCUGGGGUCCGAGGUGGUAACUGAUAUAUUUCUUCCUUUCAUCUGGCCCAUCAUUCCUGUUCCUCUGCUCUCAGUGUUCACAAUUCAGAAGCUUCAUGGUCCUGACUGAGGACGCCCAGUGCUGCCAGAGCACAUCGACAGACACUUACAAUACCAGCACAUCACAGAGCAAUGCUGAGAGACAGGCUCACUGUUCCUCAGGCUGGGACAGGAGAUCACACACUGUAUUAUUAUUACUGAGAGACAGGCUCACUGUUCCUCAGGCUGGGACAGGAGAUCACACUGUAUUAUUAUUAUUGAGAGACAGGCUCACUGU